GCUGGUUGGAGCCGACGUCCAGGACCUCCAGCCUCUGCAGGUGGCUCAGGUUGGCUGGGAUCUCGCCCACGAGGCUGUUGUACUCCAGCUGCAGGACCAGGAGCCUGGAGGCGCCGGCGAGGGAUCCUGGAACCACGCCCUGCAGGGAGUUGUGCCGGAGGUCCAGGUACGAGAGGCGGGGCAAGAAGCCGAGCUCCCGGGGGAUGUUGCCCGACAGGAAGUUGUGCGAGAGGUUGAGCGUGCCGAGGAACGUCAGGUUGGCGAGGAAAGGCGAGACGGUGAAGGUCAGGUUGGCGGA
rnacentral:misc_RNA from 1 species